AGGGCUCUCCCUGCAGGGUGUCACCCUCUGUCCCCAAGUCAAAAGAGGGAAUCUCCCCGCAUUGUGUCACCCGCUGUCCCCAAGUCAGAGAAGGAAUCUCCCUGCACUGU